rnacentral:rRNA from 1 species
GCAAGUCGAGCGGUAACAGAAAGUAGCUUGCUAGAAGAUGACGAGUGGCGGACGGGUGAGUAAUGCUUGGGAAUUUGCCUUUAGGUGGGGGACAACAGUUGGAAACGACUGCUAAUACCGCAUAUUGUCUACGGACUAAAGAGGGCUUCGGCUCUCGCCUUUAGAGAAGCCCAAGUGGGAUUAGGUAGUUGGUGAGGUAAAGGCUCACCAAGCCGACGAUCCCUAGCUGGUCUGAGAGGAUGAUC